AGCCUGAAGAGCUGCUGCGUGAGUUCGUUGCCUUUUCCGAGGGUGACUCCCGCGGUCCCUAAGGCUUCCAGAGCGAACCUGUGCGGCUGCGGGCACCGCCGCGUUGAGUUUCCGGCGUUCCGAAGACCGAGCUCUUGUCCCGGAUCCCGUCCUCCGUUUCCAGCCCCGAUCUCAGAGCN
rnacentral:other from 1 species